rnacentral:rRNA from 1 species
AGCGAACGCUGGCGGCGUGCCUAACACAUGCAAGUCGAACGAGAAAGGGGCUUCGGCUCCGAGUAAAGUGGCGCACGGGUGAGUAACACGUGGGUAACCUGCCUCUAAGAUUGGGAUAACUCGUCGAAAGAUGAGCUAAUACCAGAUAAGACCACAGUUCCCGCGGGAACAGGGGUCAAAGGUAGCCUCUGCUUGCAAGCUAUCACUUAGAGAUGGGCCUGCGGACCAUUAGCUAGUUGGUAGGGUAACGGCCUACCAAGGCAAAGAUGGUUAGCUGGACUGAGAGGAUGAUCAGCCACACUGGAGCUGAGACACGGUCCAGACUCCUACGGGAGGCAGCAGUGGGGAAUAUUGCGCAAUGGGCGAAAGCUUGACGCAGCAACGCCGCGUGAGUGAUGAAGGCCUUCGGGUCGUAAAGCUCUGUCGGGAGGAACGAAUGCUCCCAAGGUUAACAGCCUCGGGAGGUGACGGUACCUUCAAAGGAAGCACCGGCUAACUCUGUGCCAGCAGCCGCCGUAAGAC